AACUCCUCCUCCCAUCUAUAAGUUCCCACACCAUGGAAACUUUGCAUUAGUGCAACAAAGGCCGGUUCACCACACCCUGAAAUCUCACACCCCCCUCCCUUUCUUCUUGCUGAGGUAACCACACACUGUACCCACAGCGGGGAGGCAGCUCAGCAGAGGUCAUCGUGCCCUCAGUUAUCCAGCUUGAGUCCUUGUCUGAAAGCUACUGGGAAUAAGAAGGACGGUACCAUCUCAGUGGGACAGCUUUGAAGACAUACUUGCCUGAGGCUGUGAUGGAAUCAUACCUGUCUACAGUUUCACUGCUUUAUGGCCUAGCAGGAAGAACCAGGGGGGAAGUUUGGACAUACUGACAGAUGCGCAAAGAGGGAAGAAGAUGUGAAAGCACACAGGGAGAAGACAGUCAUGUGACUGCAGUGAUGACAUUUAGAAACCAAUGGAUGCCAAGGAUUGCUGGCAAACACCAGAAGCUAGAAGAGGCAAGGAAACAUUCUCCCCUCGAAACAUCCGAGAAAACACAGCCUUGCUAAUAACCCCUUGAUCUAGGACUUCUGGCCUCCAGAACCAUGUGACAAUAAAUUUGUUUAAAAAUUUUU